rnacentral:rRNA from 1 species
AAUGAACGCUGGCGGCAGGCCUAACACAUGCAAGUCGAACGGAUCCUUCGGGAUUAGUGGCGGACGGGUGAGUAACGCGUGGGAACAUACCCUUUGGUACGGAAUAGCCUCGGGAAACCGGGAGUAAUACCGUAUGUGGUCGAGAGACGAAAGAUUUACCGCCAAAGGAUUGGCCCGCGUUGGAUUAGGUAGUUGGUGGGGUAAUGGCCUACCAAGCCUACGAUCCAUAGCUGGUUUGAGAGGAUGAUUAGCCACACUGGGACUGAGACACGGCCCAGACUCCUACGGGAGGCAGCAGUGGGGAAUCUUAGACAAUGGGGGAAACCCUGAUCUAGCCAUGCCGCGUGAUCGAUGAAGGCCUUAGGGUUGUAAAGAUCUUUCAGGUGGGAAGAUAAUGACUGUACCACCAGAAGAAGCCCCGGCUAACUCCGUGCCAGCAGCCGCCGUAA